CAAGGAUAUAACAUGUAGUAUGAAGUUGAGCCCACUCUUGGCCUCUAAGAUCCAUCAGCAAGCCAGACUUAUUGGCUGACAGAACCGCAGGGCAGGGGUUUUGCCACAUGUCUUCCCACAUGAUGGUACUGGUUCAGUGCAGUUCUUACGUUCAGGAUAACCGAGCUCUAAAAGUUUGGACAAUGGGGUCUGCCCACAAGGACAACUGUGCACCAGGCUUGGCAAACGUGGACAGAGCUGACAUGCAGAUGGAUGGCACAGCUGAAGACAAUUAUGGUUUCCACAGGCUGACCACAGCGAACUGACUGACUGUUGGAAGGAGAAAAAUACAAGUCCUCACCAAGAUUCAAGAAUCUACUUUCUCAAACAAAAUAAACAUAAGGGAGCAUCAGUACAUUACAAA